ACCAGGCUAGCCUUGAAUUGUGAGGA
rnacentral:misc_RNA from 1 species